AUUGAACGCUGGCGGCAGGCCUAACACAUGCAAGUCGAACGAAGUGGCGAACGGGUGAGUAAUACGUGAGUAACCUGCCCUCCUUUUUGGGAUAAGCCUUGGCAACGGGUUCUAAUACCGAAUAAAGGGGGUUGGGCUCGCGGCCUAUCAGCUUGUUGGUGGGGUGAUGGCCUACCACGGCGGUGACGGGUAGCCGGCGUGAGAGGGUGACCGGCCACAUUGGGAAUGGGAUAGGGCCCAGACGCCUAAGGGAGGCAGCAGUGGGGAACGUUGGACAAUGGGCGAAAGUAUGAUCCAGACAUGCCGCGUGUGUGAAGAAGGUCUUCGGAUUGUAAAGCCCUUUAAGGUGGGAGGCGUUACCAACAGAAUAAGCACCGGCUAACUUCGUGCCAGCAGCCGCGGUAAUAC
rnacentral:rRNA from 1 species